GCCAAGAUGGGGCUUCCUUUGGCUCAAUAGAAGUCAAGAAGAGGAAGUGGAAGGUUUCUGCUGGUCAGCUCUCUGAGCUUGUGGCCGACUUCACAGGAAAUCAGCCCCGAGCAGGGCUGCGAAGGUCUUCACCAAGGGCUUUUUCUCAUUCUCUGGCACACAUUUGAGGAUGAUCAUCCAGGAACUACUGACUUCUGAAAGCUGGAAGUUCUGCAUCCAGAGAGCUUGAGAUUUGCAUCCACACUAUUAGAAGAAAGCAACAUCAUCAUCAUCACUGUCACCAUCAAUAAUCACAACAAGGCACUUCUGAAGAUUUGUGGACUCCGAUUCAAUUCUCUGGCCCCUGGGACUAUGAACAGGCAGUAAGUAUGCUCCGUUUCCCGCCUGGGUAGAUAGCGAAUGCACACACGGCCCGGGAUGGAUGCGCCGCUUGGAUGGUGACUGGGAAGGGCAAGUGCUGGCCCUCGAGCACAAGCAGGGGCCUCCUGGGGAGGAAGUGGUCCGUGAAGCCCUUUCAGAGAAGAGCCCGAGGUUAUCGGUCUCCGAAAGGCUGAAAGACGCGGCCACCUUACUCUGCCCCGGUUUGGGGACGGGAAGAGGAGGCGGCAAGGAGCACGCCACAAACCAUACUCUCGGCUGGUUUGUUCAUAACGGGGCAGCAGAAGUCCAAGGGGACGAGUGUUUUAGGACCAGAGCUAGAAGGGCCGUCAUGAAGCACUUGGUUCGGCUCCCUUGCCCUGUGAUGGAACAGUGACAAAACUAGGGUCUGACAGGCAGGCCUUCUUCCAGGUGCCUAGUGGGGGACUCUCUGGUCUUGUGGAAAUUCAGAGGUUGAAGCCUUUCUUUAACUUUAUAUUUGUGCAAAUCUUUUCUUUAAGGAAUGAUUCUCCUUGCUUUUGUUAUGGAGCUAUAAAACAUGAAGAUGGGAGAAAGGAAGGGGAAGGGGGAGGGGAAGGGGAUGAUUCUUAGAGAAGAUGAAGAAAUGGGCUUCCAGCUGCAAAAAUCAAAGAUGAAGGGAGGAAGGAGGGAGUCUGUAGGGAUACAGAGUGGA